rnacentral:rRNA from 1 species
AUUGAACGCUGGCGGCAGGCCUAACACAUGCAAGUCGAACGAGUGGCGGACGGGUGAGUAAUGUCUGGGAAACUGCCUGAUGGAGGGGGAUAACUACUGGAAACGGUAGCUAAUACCGCAUACCAUCAGAUGUGCCCAGAUGGGAUUAGCUUGUUGGUGGGGUAACGGCUCACCAAGGCGCCGAUCCCUAGCUGGUCUGAGAGGAUGACCCGCCAACCUGGUACUGGGCCACCGUCCCGAACCCUACGGGGGGCAGCAGGGGGGAAUUUUGCAACAAGGGGCGCAGGCCGAUGCAGCCCUGCCGCGGGUAAUGAGGAGGCCUUCGGGUUGGAAAAGUCUUUCAGGGGGGAGGCGUUACCCGCAGAAGAAGCACCGGCUAACUCCGUGCCAGCAGCCGCGGUAAUUC